UCGCUUCUAGAACUAAAAUAAUUAGUCGAACAACCUAACAUCAUUACUUCUCCAUCGCUGGUAUCAGUACCAUCACUGUCUCUUACGCCACCACCGCAACUAACAUCAUUAGCACCACUACAACCAUCUCCCUCGUCACAACCAUAAUCAUCACCACCGUUUCUCCACCUCCUAAUCAAUCGAUUUAGAUCGAUUUUCACUUGAAUCAACUAUAAAACUUAAAUCUAUUGAUGGACCAACGCGAUUAAUCUCCAAAACCCAAUCUCGAGCAUCAUAAACGUUAGAUUCAUUUCGUUUUGUACAUGAAGCUCCAAAUCCUGAACUUACUUGAUUCACCUUUUGAACCCUAAAUUUGGAUCUCGUUCUUCUUCGAUCAUAAUUGAUUCAGGUUUUGAUGAGGAUUAGGAUGCUAAGAGAAAAAGGUUGGCGUAGUGUACCGGACAUUCACACAAUAUAUUUUAGGCGAUAAUUAUGACGUCGAAUGAUAGAACAGCUAUCAGCUCAGCUACUGAUGGCCAGGUGUUUAUUGAAGAUCUAAGAAGAUUUGAAGACAAAGAAUAUUUCUUAUUUGAGUUCAUA